CCUACGGGUGGCAGCAGUGGGGAAUAUUGCACAAUGGGGGAAACCCUGAUGCAGCGACGCCGCGUGAGUGAAGAAGUAUUUCGUUAUGUAAAGCUCUAUCAGCAGGGAAGAAAAUGACGGUACCUGAGUAAGAAGCCCCGGCUAACUACGUGCCAGCAGCCGCGGUAAUACGUAGGGGGCAAGCGUUAUCCGGAUUUACUGGGUGUAAAGGGAGCGUAGACGGCCAUGCAAGUCAGGAGUGAAAGCCCAGGGCUCAACCCUCGGACUGCUUUUGAAACUGUAGGGCUGGAGUGCAGGAGAGGUAAGUGGAAGUCCUAGUGUAGCGGUGAAAUGCGUAGAUAUUAGGAGGAACACCAGUGGCGAAGGCGGCUUACUGGACUGUAACUGACGUUGAGGCUCGAAAGCGUGGGGAGCAAACAGGAUUAGAUACCCGAGUAGUC
rnacentral:rRNA from 1 species